rnacentral:rRNA from 1 species
UACGAAGGGGGCUAGCGUUGUUCGGAAUUACUGGGCGUAAAGCGCACGUAGGCGGAUUGUUAAGUCAGAGGUGAAAUCCCGGAGCUCAACUUCGGAACUGCCUUUGAUACUGGCAAUCUAGAGUCCGGAAGAGGUUAGUGGAAUUCCCAGUGUAGAGGUGAAAUUCGUAGAUAUUGAGAAGAACACCAGUGGCGAAGGCGGCUAACCGUGGUCCGGUACU